UUUUAAAAGAGUUUAAAAAAAGUUAGAUAGUAAUACUGAUUUUUACUGUCACUUUGAUACUUUAGUUCUAUUUUUAAGUCAAAGCAAUCCAUGACGAUUUGAUUCAACCAUCAAGUCAAUAUGCCUAAUAUCUGAACUUAUCAAAAUCAGUUGCUUCGAAAACAUUACACACACAACACCUGAACUGGUAACGGAGAUGCCAGUUAAGAAAUAAAUAAAAAAAUUAUUAUUUAGUGUAUUUUGUGUGUCCUUUUAGGGACAAAUCGUUCAAUUGUUAUGCAUCCAAACAGAGGGAAUCCGCCACAUGGCAAUGAAGCAAGCGGCAAUUCGGGUCAUCCAUUCCAGCCACCGAUAUACCAUCCGUAUUAUGGAACACAUUUGAAUCAAGUUCCAUGCCUGCGUGGAACAGAUGGACAUGUCGCUGCUCCUCCUCCAAGACCAGCCAGAAAUAAUUGUCCCAAUGGAAUUUGCUAUCAACCCGGCUACAAUUGUAUCGAUGGCAAUUGCACUAGAGUUAAUCAGGGUCACUCGACGAGGCCACCGACACCAGCAUCUCCGCCACCGGGUUCAAUGGCCGGAACUCCACCGGCGUCUCAAGCGGCAGCCCCUACAAACUACAAGCAUUGGCGUCCUUAGAAACCGACAUUUCUUGUAAAGAGACCUUGGAAUACUUUCUUAAAGCAGAAGGUUUCCAACAUCUUUGCAAGCAAAUCCCCUACACAUUAAUUUUCUUUAGACAAAACAGAAUCAACCAAACCAAAAACAACUGAACGAGAACCAAAUACAGAAAUUUACGUGAAUUUA